AUAAGUCUUCUCAUUAUUUUCAUAAUUAUUUAUUAAAUCUUUCUAAUGUGUGUUUCUCUUUCCUGCUUUUUUGUUUCAUGCUUUUUAUUUAUUGAACUUUUUGUAAGUUUAGUUCAUAUUUAGAUCAAUAAAGUUUGUUACGACGAAUACGAUCCCCUCUGUCACUCUGAUAAACUCAUGUUGUGUUUAUUUCUAACAUUCUAUCGGAUGAACGUAAACAAAAAUAUCGUCAGUAAUACCAUUACUCGAUGACAUUGUGGAAAUCGCGUAAAACCGACGAUACUUCGAUUUAAAUUACUCUUUAAUUUUAAGUAAUUCUUUUGAACGCGAAUCGUGAAUUAAUUACAUAAACUCAGUCUGUGUAAAUUUUCUAUUGAAAGAAUAAUUAAGAUAAUUUGAACAAGCGAAAAUACGAAUAAUAAUAUUGAAACUUUCGAAGUUGUUGAUUUCACGAAUCGCCAUGAUAUUGGAAUGUACGAAUGAAUACAACGGCCUGGUGCUAUUCUACAAAAAGCUUGAAGAAAUAUCAACCAUUUUAAAGGAAGGAAAAACCACUCAGGCCAGAGUAAUGAAUUUUAUUCUGACAAUGCUCAACUGUAUGAUCUUAAAAGUCGACAGUCAAACUUGUCUUCACGAAUUCAUCGGUAUAUUCAAUGAUAGAAGUAUACAAGUUCUCAGAAACGAUCUGGAGAAUCUUUUGUGUUUCAAGACCAGGUUUUUCAACUUUUUAAUCCUGGAGUUGCUGCUAGAAGCUGUCAGAAAAGAGAACAAUGUUAAACUGAUGGUGGAUAAGCCGUGUAAACAAUGGAACAAAGUUGUUUUUCAAAAAAGAGUCAAAGCUAUCGUAAAAUUUUUAAUUUUCCGAAAGGUAAAGAAGUCUUCUUAUCUCUGCGAUGGAAACGAUAUACCGGAUUGGUUUUCUUACAGACAGAAAGUUAGUAUCGUGCUUAAUAACGAAAUCAAUUCGGGAGAUAAUUUUAUAAUGAAUAAAAAUAAUUUGAAAGAUAAUCGCGUGAAAGAUACCGUGAAUUGUGCUCGUUAUAAGAAGAAAAGUCAAUAUGCAGAUAAUGUCAAGAUUUUUAAAAAGUACUCAAAUACGAAAUUUAAUUUUUACGAAACACCCAUGUACACUUGCAUUCGUCAUCUCUGCACCAGAGUCUAUUGUCUGUUUUGGUUAGCAAUUUUUAUUUAUGGAUGGUUAGCAGUUUUUAUGUAUUAUUGCUGCGGAUUUUUUCAUCAGAUAUUCUUAAGUGUUAUACAUAAAUCGAUCAAUGAAUAAUCGUAAUAUGAUAGUUUGAUUUGUGUUAUUUAUAAGUUAAGCGCGAAUUCUGUAUUAUUCCGUUCAAAUUGUUGCCCAUAUUGUCUUUUUCACAAACAUAUAUUGUAAUUGAUAAUACUAAUCUAGUCAAUACGUUCAAUUAUAAAAUCGAUAAAUCUAUUUAACUUGAUCGAUUGAUAGAAAAGCGCAUUACGUGAUAUAAGAUAAAUUUUUAUGUGUGUUAUGUAAAUUAUUUAAAAAACACGUUUUAUACUUGUACUUAUAGAAUGUGCAAUAUUUAUCAAAAUGAUAACGUAGCUGAAUUCAGCUAGCACUGUUUUCAAUAUGAUAUCAAAUGUUAAGCAUUUUUUUUAUUUUUGAGAUAUAAUCGAGAAAAAUGUAAUCAAGGUUAAACUCUCUAUUAGUAAAUAUAUGUAAAUAUAUGUAUAUAAACGUAACUUCGUUCCAUGAAAAUGUAUUUAGUAUGUAGCGUAGUUAUGAUAGUGCAUAAGAUAUAAAAUAUUUCCAUCGGUCCCGUUUCUUCUUAACGAAUUUACCGGCGUCUCCAACUACGUUCGAGAUUACAACUACAUAGAAAAACCUUU